rnacentral:RNase_P_RNA from 1 species
GGAGUUGACCAGACAGUCGCCGCUUCAUUGCCGUCCCUUUCGGGGGAGACAGAUGGAGGGGAGGAAAGUCCGGGCUCCAUAGGGCAGGGUGCCAGGUAACGCCUGGGAGGCGCAAGCCUACGACUAGUGCAACAGAGAGCAAACCGCCGAUGGCCCGCGCAAGCGGGAUCAGGUAAGGGUGAAAGGGUGCGGUAAGAGCGCACCGCGCGACUGG